ACCAUCGUUGCGUAAUGGCACCGAACGGCCCUUCUUUCUGGUUGAGUACAACGGUGAGGGACAUUCCUCUGAAGAUCCCAGCUGCCCUAAAUUCGGCCCUGGACUAGCUGAAUGCUUCCCAGACUGCGUAUGUGAAGAUGCCUUCAACAACACGUACGCCUGCGUCAGAGCUCUGAAGGAUGCCAACCUGCAGUACUGCGAGUUCGCAGACAACGAGUCGUUCGUAGAGGUGUACA